GAUGAAGAACGCAGCGAAAUGCGAUAAGUAAUGUGAAUUGCAGAAUUCAGUGAAUCAUCGAAUCUUUGAACGCACCUUCCACCCUUUGGUAUUCCGAAGGGUAUGCUCGUUUGAGUGUCAUUGUACUCUCACACUUCUAAUUCCUUUCGGGAUUGGGAGCGGUGGACUUGGGUGUUGCUGCUUUAGUUGUGGCUCACCUCAAAUAAGUUAGUGCAACUCUUGGUUGGACAUAGUACGGCGUGAUAAGUGUCUUCGCCGGCGCCUCUGUAAGGAGGGUGGCCGAUCGGGAGCUCUGUGCUUCAAACCGUCUUCGGACAAUCUUUGACAACUUGACCUCAAAUCGAGUAGGACUACCCGCUGAACUUAAGCAUAUCAAAAGCGGAGGA
rnacentral:misc_RNA from 1 species